UACGUAGGGACCGAGCGUUGUCCGGAUUCAUUGGGCGUAAAGGGUGCGUAGGUGGCGGGGUAAGUCAGGUGUGAAAUCUCGGGGCUCAACCCCGAAACUGCACUUGAUACUGCCUUGCUCGAGUACUGGAGAGGAGAUUGGAAUUUACGGUGUAGCAGUGAAAUGCGUAGAUAUCGUAAGGAAGACCAGUGGCGAAGGCGAAUCUCUGGACAGUUACUGACACUGAGGCACGAAGGCCAGGGGAGCAAACGGG
rnacentral:rRNA from 1 species